AGGUAUAAUGCUUAAAUAUCGUCAUAACUCUUCAUUUUACAUUUUUUCUUCUAGGUCAAGUACGUCAUCAUCUUGAGUCUAUUUCAAAGAAUAGAAGAGGAAAGAGAGUUUUUUAGGAAGGUUCAUUCGACAAUGCUGGACCCAGAAGGAUUUGAAGACUCUCCAUUCUCGAAAGCCAUGGUGGAAUUUUAUUGUAGAAUAUGUUUCUGUAUUUGACCCAUAUGUUCAAUAAAGGUUUCCUGAUGAGAUGUUGA